UCCGGGCUCGUCUAAUGGUAGGACAUGGGCCUUUGAAGCCCAGUAUCCACGUUCGAAUCGUGGGCCCGGAG
rnacentral:tRNA from 1 species